rnacentral:rRNA from 1 species
AGUGAACGCUGGCGGUAGGCCUAACACAUGCAAGUCGAACGGCAGCACAGUAAGAGCUUGCUCUUACGGGUGGCGAGUGGCGGACGGGUGAGGAAUACCUCGGAAUCUACUUUUUCGUGGGGGAUAACGUAGGGAAACUUACGCUAAUACCGCAUACGACCUACGGGUGAAAGCAGGGGAUCUUCGGACCUUGCGCGAUUGAAUGAGCCGAUGUCGGAUUAGCUAGUUGGCGGGGUCAAGGCCCACCAAGGCGACGAUCCGUAGCUGGUCUGAGAGGAUGAUCAGCCACACUAGAACUGAGACACGGUCCAGACUCCUACGGGAGGCAGCAGUGGGGAAUAUUGGACAAUGGGCGCAAGCCUGAUCCAGCCAUACCGCGUGGGUGAAGAAGGCCUUCGGGUUGUAAAGCCCUUUUGUUGGGAAAGAAAAGCAGCAGGUUAAUACCCCGCUGUUCUGACGGUACCCAAAGAAUAAGCACCGGCUAACUUCGUG